rnacentral:rRNA from 1 species
CCUACGGGAGGCAGCAGUAGGGAAUUUUCGUCAAUGGGCGCAAGCCUGAACGAGCAAUGCCGCGUGAGGGAAGAAGGCUUUCGGGUUGUAAACUUCUUUUGUCAGGGACGAAGCAAGUGACGGUACCUGACGAAUAAGCCACGGCUAACUACGUGCCAGCAGCCGCGGUAAUACGUAGGUGGCAAGCGUUAUCCGGAUUUACUGGGUGUAAAGGGCGUGUAGGCGGGGAAGCAAGUCAGAUGUGAAAACCACGGGCUCAACCUGUGGCCUGCAUUUGAAACUGUUUUUCUUGAGUACUGGAGAGG